UAAUUCAUUAUGCCGGCAUAAUUCUGGCAUAAUUAGCCUUUUUUUUUCUGGCAUAAUUUCGACCCUUUCAGCAUAAUUUGGGGGCAUGAUGAGAUUUUUUUAAGCAAAGAAUCUUGCAUGAUAAUAUCAUUUUUAGCCUAAUUUUGAUGUAUUUGAAGAAUUGAAGACCUUUUUUGGGGGGGGGGGUUCUCCUCGUCAAGUUAAGGUUGAUGACCUUUUUUUUUUUUUGCUUCUCAUUUUUUUUCCUGCUUCCCAACCUCAAAUUUGGGUUCAUGACUCUUCUUUUUUUCUUGCAUAAGGUUCAAAAACGGUUUGGCAUAAUUUGAUUUUUUUUUCACUGGCCACACUGUCAUAGCUGCAUUUUUGAAGUAUUAUUGGAAAGACGAGAUGACGGUCGACGGCCUACCUUCGCUUCGCCACUGCAAAUACAUUCCUGACGUAAAUUACGUCACCUUUUCCGCCAGCUGAUCGAUUUCGGAUUUUCUUUUAAGUUUUGAGACAACUGGAAUCGAUAACUCAACUCAUGCGCGUAGCAUGCGUUAGUUUAGAUUCUAGAAUUAUUUUUUUUUCAUUCUCAGUUAUAACUAGUAAAAUCAACUACGAUUAUUGGACCUAGCUGUAGGGAUAUGUUGACACGAACUUUUCAUGGGAAAAUGGCAUGUUUAUUAUUAAAAAAAAAAUCGCCGGUCUCAAAUCUAGGCAAUUUAUUUUCAGUUUUAUCAAUUGCUUUUAAAUUGAAAAGAGCUAGAUAUUUACUCAGCUACCACCAACAGACCGUCCAAUCUACGAAUUUGGCUUCCCAAGACUUAACCGUCAACCAUCAACCUCUGGAACAAGGUAUUUAUCUAAAAGGAUUAAGGAUUCCUAUUCAUUGAUCUAUUAAAUAUAUUCAAUAAGCGGAGAUGAAAAUAAACUUUUUAUAUCACAUACUUGAAAUUUGUUCAUUUUAUUUCAAUAUUUGAUUUACUCAUAUUCUUUCUUUCCAUCUUGUGGUGUGUGUGUGGGGGGUGUAUGUGAAUCAGUUUCAACACUUUGGAACACAUAUGUAUGAAAAUUGAUCUGAUGAAUGUAUUAAUUUUUCUUCUUUCCGUAAAGAUAUAGAAAUGCAUGUAGAAAUAACAGGAUAAUAAAUGAUAACUAUCAGCCAUACAUUACUAUCCCUUACUCAGCAACAGAAUGUCCAAUUUUCCCUAACUGACUUAACACCGUCAACCUCUGGAACAAGGUAUUUAUUCAUUUCAAAUUCAUUGCUUCAUAUAUUUUAUCAAAUAUAUUAAGUGAGCUUUGAUGGCAAUUAAAGGAAAAUCUAACUUUGUCUGAAAGCAGAAAAAUCAAACAAUCGGAUAAACUUAAAUUAGAAUUAAAAUGUUAAUUGAAAAUAAUCAAAUUAAUCACUUUAACAGCUUCAGGUUAUUUCAAUAGCUAAGCAUAACAAAGUAAAUGGGUAGGGAUGGAGAUUCCUAAGACUGACUCAUGCACCAUUCAUCAACUGUCAUCUUUUUCAUCUGCAACUACCUGAAGCAAAUAUGAAUAAAGGAUAGUUAAUAAAUGAAAUUACAUCAUCUCACAAUCUUCCUAACCAAUCCAAGUUGAUCAAACAAUAGUUUACCAGAGUAUGGCAAACAUUUUAAUUCAAUGAUGAAUGAAACUCAGGUCACCACAUUUAUUGAAAAAAAAAACAAUUGCUACAAAGCUUGUAAUAUUCAGAAAUUUUAAUAUGAAUUCAACAUUUACAGACCAGAAUUCAAACAGAAGUUGGUAUGUAAAUAAAAUCAUCAACCAAUAGUCUCUUGGAAUCCCUUAGUUUGAUUGGCUGUAGGUUUUUACCAUGUUAGUUACCAGUCAGCAGUUCCAUGGUUGUAGACCAAAAUAUGUUAACAUAUGCAUAAAAACACGAUUUAAUGUUAUUUUAAUUUAUCUUGAAUUCAUCUACAUCAAAAUAGAAAUAAAUUGCAGGAAUUCUAUUCCUGAAUUCACCCUAUUCACUCUUUAAACAACUUAUAUUGCACUCUUAAUUCAAAUAGGGAGACUUCAAUUCCACCUAUUCUUCCAAGAAAAAUUACCAAGCCUACUGGACUUGGAUCUACUCUGCAACCAACAACCCCCUCAAGGAAUACAGAAACCAGACCAUCUGCCAAGAGAAGCUUGCACUAUCUAGAACAGCUGGAACCAAAGACAAAGAUAAAAGUCUCAGUCCAGCACAAGAAGUAAUGAUUGAAUUGGCAAGAGAAGAGCAUGCAUGGCUCAAACGUGAGCAUGAAUUACGAGAUGAAAUCCUUCCGUCAGCUAGAAAUACGAACUGCACAAUACAAGGAAGAGGAAGUUCGUAGAUCACUUAACAAGGUCAAUGCUAAUUUGAAUUCAGAUCCUUAAAACUAUUCAUUUCAUAUAUUACAAAUUAAUAAUUUGGAAUAAUAUAAAUAUGUGUAUUUAACUAUGCAUGCCAUAACAUUCUUAGCAUAUCUACUUGUCUACUACUACUACUGUUCAUUGAAUCUUAGUUUAAAAAUCCUUUGAAGUUAACUAGAGUAUAAUUAUUUUUUUCCUUCUCAUCUACAAUGAAUUAAGUAGAGGUAGUGUCUGAUUCCAGAGAGCCUCUGGUCUCUUCUCAUGAUACACUAUUGCAAUGCAACCAUGACAUGAUAGUUGUUCAUAUUCUUGGGGUCUUAUCUCCUUUUUGCAAUUUCAAUAUAGUAAAUUGUAUUAGCAGCAUUUAUCUAUACUAAUCAAUUGACAAAUGUUUGUGUAUUGAAUUUGUAUAUACCACAUCGGAUGAAAUAUAAUAUAUUCUAUACAACAAUAAAAUACAUAUAGUUUACUCAUUGCAAUUUGAACUCUAGAGUUUAUCUUAUGCAUAGGAAUAAUCUAUAUUUCUCAAAUAAUGGUUGUGUAUUGAAUUUGUAUAUAUCACAUUGAGGGAAUGGAAUAUGAUUUUCACUUUUUUUUGUUCACAUGGUUAUUCUUUGCAAUUUGAACACAAAAGUAUGAGCAGAAAUGAUAUAUAUUUAUUGAAUGAUAAAUAUUUGUAAUGAAUUUGUAUAUACUGCAUUGGAAGAAUUAAAUAUAAUAUAUUCUAUACAACAAUAAAAUACAUAGUUACACAUUGCAAUUUGAACUCUAGAGUUUAUCAUAUGAGAAGGAAUAAUCUGUAUUUCUCAAUGAUAAUUGUUUGAGUAUCGAAUUUGUAUAUCACAUCGGGUAUAAGCAGAAA